AAAUAUAUUAAUCAAAUCAUUACUACAUCGGCGAACAGUGACGUGAGUGUCGAUUAGUGUUGAUCCAGGAUCAGGUUUUAUUACGUUAGAACGGAACGAGAAGAAUCUUCAUGGAGAUCAUCGAGGAAGACAUCCGAGGUUAUCCGAGAUAUCGGGAGGAGCUUCAAAGUGGCGAUGAUGAAUCGUAAUAAAAGUUCGAAAAGUCGAAAGAAAAGAGGAUGAGAAGAAGAGGAACCAACACCACACAGUGAUAUCGGAGUAAGGAGUAGAGAGAAGAACGUUAGGCGUCAUCCGGUGAGGUGUCAUCGUUGGCAUCAGUAAAA
rnacentral:lncRNA from 1 species